UGUUGCUGUCCGCCAGCCGGACUCUCGCCUGGAGUUCCGCCGAUUUUGCUACAUGUGGCUGCGAGCAGGGCCAGAGGAGAUGGCUGCGCAUCCUAUCCACAGAAAAAACGGACAGCCAAUGUGGGCGGGUUUUACGAUGACUGCAACUGGAAGUUCAUUUAACAUCAAAGAUCCUCGCCGAGACGCAGCUUGUUACUUGAGAGGGAUGGCGAUAAUCCCACGGAUGUAAACUAACAAAGAAAUCAUGGGAAUUUCGUUACGACAGAACAGCGUGCUACAGCCGGGUACACAGCACUGUUAUGAGGCUCCCGCGGUGUUAUACAAGCUUCAGAAAGAACAAAUUUGUUAUCCUACACCCGAGGGCAUCUGCUGACGGAUGUUUUCUUCUGAGUGGACGUGAGGAAGCGAGUAUUCAACAGAAGGUGCUUAUCUCGCUAUGCACUUGUUCUGAGUGUUCACCGGUUAAAACUUGACGGAUUUAAGUAUUAAAUUACCAUUGUCGUUUAA